CUUCCCUGGUGGCCCUUGGGCCGUGUCCUGGGAUGGGGCGGGCGCCAGGCUGCGAGCCGGGCUGGCGCCCAGCAGGUCUCAGGGUCGGUCUGCGGAGUAUGGCUUCAACAGCACCACUCCAUGAUUGUGGGACCCACCUGGCUCCUCCAACCUGAACUUGGAACUUGGGAGCCAAUAAAGUCUUGCAGAUUGCGGGCAGACUUAACUCCUUGCUUGCCAGCCUGGUGGACUCCGAGGUGGUGACGCCGAGAGGAAGGGAAGAAGGGAGGGACUCCCGACCUCACUCCCACCCACAGUUUAACACGUUGUGGUCCGGAACGCAAUCUCAGAACUUGGGCUGGUCAGAGCCCUGGAAGGCUGCCUGGUACUCAAGGAGCAACACG
rnacentral:lncRNA from 1 species